rnacentral:lncRNA from 1 species
UGACAUUGAUAGAAUACUGGAAGGUGACCCAGGCACGGUGCCAGCGAUGGGGAAGGCUGCAGGUGUCUGAGGCGUCUGCGCAUUUGAACAGUGGUUCUAUGAAAAUGGGGGUGGAGUUGUUGAGCGUUUUUGAGUGAAUAGAUGUGGCUCGGAAUAUGUGCUGUCACUUCAGCAAACGUGACCGGGCAGGGCGUGUUUGGUGAUGGCAUCUGAGUGCUGAGGCAUUGCUUCCAGCUCCCAGGUUUGUGCCUCGUCACGGUGGUGAGUUCACGCGCACCCUCCCAUUUUGGGAUCAGCUCCAGCUGCCCUGGAGGGUCUCUCACCUCCAUCCAGGUGUCAGAGUGGAGACAGGGUGCUUAUGGUCACUGUGUCCGGGGCCUUCUUUCAGAUUUUGGAGGCAACAUCAACGUGGAGACCAUCAGUGCCUUCAUCGACGGCGGUGGCAGCGUUUUGGUGGCUGCCAGCUCUGAUAUCGGUGACCCUCUUCGGGAGCUAGGCAGUGAGUGUGGGAUUGAAUUUGAUGAGGAAAAAACAGCUGUCAUC